rnacentral:rRNA from 1 species
CCGGCGAACGGGUGCGUAACACGUAUGCAAUCUACCUAUAACUAAGGAAUAGCCCGGAGAAAUUCGGAUUAAUACCUUAUAACAUCUCAGAACGGCAUCGUUCCAAGGUUAAAGUUCAGGCGGUUAUAGAUGAGCAUGCGGCCCAUUAGUUAGUUGGUGAGGUAAUGGCUCACCAAGGCUACGAUGGGUAGGGGGUCUGAGAGGAUGAUCCCCCACACUGGUACUGAGACACGGACCAG